rnacentral:rRNA from 1 species
UACGUAGGGUGCGAGCGUUAAUCGGAAUUACUGGGCGUAAAGCGUGCGCAGGCGGUUCGUGAAGUCCGAUGUGAAAGCCCUGGGCUCAACCCGGGAAUGGCAUUGGAAACUGGCGGGCUAGAGUGUGGCAGAGGGGGGUGGAAUUCCUGGUGUAGCAGUGAAAUGCGUAGAGAUCAGGAGGAACACCGAUGGCGAAGGCAGCCCCCUGGGCUGACACUGACGCUCAGGCACGAAAGCGUGGGGAGCAAACAGG